rnacentral:rRNA from 1 species
GAUGAACGCUGGCGGCGUGCCUAAUACAUGCAAGUCGAGCGAACUGAUUAGAAGCUUGCUUCUAUGACGUUAGCGGCGGACGGGUGAGUAACACGUGGGCAACCUGCCUGUAAGACUGGGAUAACUUCGGGAAACCGAAGCUAAUACCGGAUAGGAUCUUCUCCUUCAUGGGAGAUGAUUGAAAGAUGGUUUCGGCUAUCACUUACAGAUGGGCCCGCGGUGCAUUAGCUAGUUGGUGAGGUAACGGCUCACCAAGGCAACGAUGCAUAGCCGACCUGAGAGGGUGAUCGGCCACACUGGGACUGAGACACGGCCCAGACUCCUACGGGAGGCAGCAGUAGGGAAUCUUCCGCAAUGGACGAAAGUCUGACGGAGCAACGCCGCGUGAGUGAUGAAGGCUUUCGGGUCGUAAAACUCUGUUGUUAGGGAAGAACAAGUACAAGAGUAACUGCUUGUACCUUGACGGUACCUAACCAGAAAGCCACGGCUAACUACGUGCCAGCAGCCGCCGCGGUAA